rnacentral:lncRNA from 1 species
CUGCAACAGUUUGUCAUCGCAACUCCUCUCAAACCACACAACAGAAUUUCACGAAAUCUUUUUAUAUGAAAAGGACAUAUUAUGUAGUUGUGCAUAUCGACAGGAAAUUAUGAUUCAAUUUUAUUUCUAGGAGUUACGCCCCUUUGAACUUAUUUGCUUCAAUGUACUACUGCAACAGUUUGUCAUCGCAACUCCUCUGAAACCACACAACAGAAUUUCA